rnacentral:rRNA from 1 species
UACGUAGGGGGCAAGCGUUGUCCGGAUUUAUUGGGCGUAAGAGCGUGUAGGCGGCUAGGUAGGUCCGUUGUGAAAACUCGAGGCUCAACCUCGAGACGCCGAUGGAAACCAUCUAGCUAGAGUCCGGAAGAGGAGAGUGGAAUUCCUGGUGUAGCGGUGAAAUGCGCAGAUAUCGGAAAGAACACCAACGGCGAAAGCACUCUGCUGGGCCGACACUGACACUGAGAGACGAAAGCUAGGGGAGCGAAUGGG